GGGGGUGUGGCUCAGCGAUAGAUUGCUCAUCUGACAUGUGUGAGGCCCUGGGUUCGAUCCUCAGUACCACAU
rnacentral:tRNA from 1 species